rnacentral:pre_miRNA from 1 species
GGUGCACCGGUGGGGUCCCUCGGCCUGGCCUGCGCCCUCUCACAAUCAGGGACCCCUUGUGGGAUGUUGGAGAGCCCGUUUCAGCCCAAUCCCGCAGGCCAGGCCGAGGGACCCCACUGGUGCAUG